ensembl:misc_RNA Y_RNA Y RNA
GUCUGGUGCAAAUGCAGUGGUAUUUACAACUAAUUGAUCACAACCAGUUACAGAUUUCUUUGUUCCUUCUCCACUUCCACUGCUUUACUUGACUAGCCUUAG